rnacentral:rRNA from 1 species
AGGACGAACGCUGGCGGCGUGCUUAACACAUGCAAGUCACGGGGGCCCGCAAGGGCAACCGGCGAACGGGUGCGUAACACGUGAGCAACCUACCGAGAUGUGGGGGAUAGCCGGCCCAACGGCCGGGUAAUACCGCAUACGCUCUUUCCACGGCAUUGUGGAUUGAGGAAACCUCCGGGGCAUUUCGAGGGGCUCGCGGCCUAUCAGCUAGUUGGUGCGGUCACGGCGCACCAAGGCGACGACGGGUAGCUGGUCUGAGGGAUGGCCAGCCACAUUGGGACUGAGAAACGGCCCAGACUCCGUACGGGAGGCAGGCAGUGGGGAAUCUGCGUCAAUGGACCGAAAGGCUGACGCAGCGACGCCGCGUGUAGGGAGGAGUCCGUUUCGGGUGUAAACCGACUUGGUUGGCCCCGGGACGAACGUA